GAAGGUAGGCCCUUCGGAGUCGGUUUGUAGGAACGGGCUCCAAACAGCCAUAAGCUGCUUCAGUACGAAAGGCUGCGGUGGUGAACGUUAUGGUUAAAAGCCGGGGUUAGACCUCGGCAUG
rnacentral:ncRNA from 1 species